AUCCAGCUGACAAGUCCGAAAUGGGACGAAACGCGCGUCCUGUAU
rnacentral:hammerhead_ribozyme from 1 species